GACGAACGCUGGCGGCGUGCUUAACACAUGCAAGUCGAACGGUGAAGCGCCUUGCUUUUUGGCGGGUGUGGAUGAGUUGCGAACGGGUGAGUAACACGUGAGUAACCUGCCCUCUUCUUCUGGAUAACCGCAUGAAAGUGUGGCUAAUACGGGAUAUUCCGGGUCUGUCGCAUGAUGGGUCUGUGAAAGAUAUUGCUUCGGUGGGGGAUGGUCUCGCGGCCUAUCAGCUUGUUGGUGGGGUGAUGGCCUACCAAGGCGGUGACGGGUAGCCGGCCUGAGAGGGUGGACGAUACCACAGGGGCUGAGACACGGACAAGACUCCUACGGGAGGCAGCAGUGGAGAAUAUUGCACAGUGGGCAGAAGCAUGCAGCAGCAACGCGGCGUGGGAGAUGGCGGCCUUCGGGUUGUGAACCUCUUUCGCGAGUGAAGCACGGCUGCCUCAUUUGUGGCUGGGUUGACGGUAGCUGGAUAAGAAGCGCCGGCUAACUACGUG
rnacentral:rRNA from 1 species